GAAGGUCACGGCGAGACGAGCCGUUUAUCAUUACGAUAGGUGUCAAGUGGAAGUGCAGUGAUGUAUGCAGCUGAGGCAUCCUAACAGACCGGUAGACUUGAACCUUGUUCCUACAUGACCUGAUCAAUUCGAUCAGGCACUCGCCAUCUAUUUUCAUUGUUCAACUCUUUGACAACAUAAAAAACCAAAACCUCUGCUCUCCCUCUCUACCAAGGGAUGGAAGGGCAGAGGCCUUUGGUGUCCCCUCCAGUCAAGAAUUGG
rnacentral:rRNA from 1 species